GGCAGGGAGAGAAUGGCAGGCCGUCACUCUCUUCCUCUGAAAAUGGCUCCUGCUGGACUGGGCUAGACAGAUGGCUGCUCUUCAGGAGGAUCGGGUUCUUUGUCAGGCUGCAAGGAGGGGGAGCUGGUGGCACUUAGGAGAGGUAGCUCUUUGUUUGGUGUAGUGUUCCGUGGAGAGCAGGGUGUGAGCAUCCUGCCCCACCCCCACCUCCGUGUUCUAUGAUGCCCUCUGGUCCUUAUGAUAAUGGACCCACUAAAACGCAGAACUCCUCCUGGCAAACGGCCCUGGGCUUUAGAGCCUGCCUGGUCUGAGGCUGCUAUGCCCUCUGUUGGUGAGCACCGCUGCCUUCCCUACCUCCAUGGCUCAGGGUCUACCUCUUCCUAGAUGUCCCAGCAGAGCCAAAAUGAUUCAAGUCCUUCUGGGAAUUUUCCCUGCAUUCCUCAAGGCAGCCUCUGAGAGAGAGCAAGGCACGUCGCCUCCUUUUCAUUUACAUGGGGAUUACUGGAGACCAGGAAAGUGCUUUAAAAUGAUAUAAUGUCUCUGCACCUCAUCAAACCCUUCCCCUUCCACCAAUUUCUGCCUGAUUUACAGUUAAUACUGCACACUCCCAUCACCCUGCCGGAGAAGCGGUGAUUAUUUCUCCAUUGCCAUAAAGAAUGUAAAGGAGAUGGGAAAAAUCAGGUGAAUUCAGAGAAAGUUUAGUAUAAAAAAAAAGUGCUGGGGGAGGGGGGUGUCAAGGAAGACAGGAUAAUGGUGGGAGCAAAAGUGUUCCCGGAACCAAUUUCAGAGUCAAGCGAUUCCCGGGGGGGCUGGAAACAGGGCUGGAGUGCAAGCUGCUGCCUUGCCAGGCAACUGCAGCGGGUCAGAGUGGGCAGGAGGCAGGCUACCCUGGCCUGAGUAAGAAGACUUAGGGGGAGAAAGAUCAUCUGAGCAUCUGUCCUUCCCACCUGGUGCCGCCCAGGAAGAUCUAAUGCACCAACACUCAGGCACUGGGAUGAGGAGGAGAGAUUCUAAAUGCGAGGUUCCGGAUAGGGGCUUCUUUAUUCCGUUUGAUUCAUUUGGACCUUAAUAGAUGUUGGUUGGUCAUUCCCUGUUGUUUUUAUUUUUAUGUAUUUAUUUGCACAGGGUCUCACUUUGUAGCCCAGGCUGGUCUCAAACUCACAAUCCUCCCAUACCUGCCUACCUUGGUGCUGGGAUCAUGGGCAAGCUCCACCACGACUAAGAGUUCUAAAGUGGGCUCUAGGCUAUGAGACCUCAGGGUGUCAUUACACAGUCUUCUCAGCUGUGGGAUGGGAUGGAUUAGCACAUGGAAGUGACACUAAAAGCCACUGCUGUGACUCUUACCCACCAUCAGUCAGCUACAGUGGGUGCACAAUGCUGCCACCAUCUUCCAACGGGCAAGCAGGCAGAUGACUGUGCUCCUUCAUCAGUGAAGCUGUUUUGUCAGAGGGGAGAGGGAGAGAGGGACAGGAAAGGGGGGAGAUUCUCUGAGCCUUCUCUACAGUCCCUCAGCCAAAGGAAACAAUGAAGUCCCCUUGGUCUGUUACUGUCCACAUAUUACCCUGCUGUUUCAGCUAUCCACUGCUGUGUAACAAACUACCCCAGGUUUGAAUGACUUAACAUAUGAUUAUUUGGGGCCAGUGAGAUGGCUCAGUGUGGGUCAAGGUGCUUGCUGCCAAGCCAGAUAACAUGAGGUCAAUUCUUGGAGCCGACAUGGUAAAAAGAAGACCCACGUCUAGUUGUCCUCUGGCCCCUACAAUGCACCACAGCACCCACAUAUCACCCCAAUAUAAUAAAUGUGUGUAUGUAAAGAGA
rnacentral:lncRNA from 1 species